GCGUCUUAUGUCUGUACAUAUGAGCGACGACAAAUUAGCAGUGGUGGGAUUUGAACCCACGCCUCCAAAGUGACUGGAAACUAAAUCCAGCACCUGUCUGGGGGGCAUCAAAAACAUGGACUGUCUGGUGGUCCCUGUGGACUCGGUUGGGAUGCACUGUAAUAGAAGAUGUUAGCUGUAUGUUUAGAAUUGGGUCGAAUAGGCAGGGCUUUUAAGUGCUGCUUUGUUGUUUUACCACUGAUUAACGAUUUUUCUUUAAAAACUCGCAGAAGAACUGGAUAGGAAUGCUAACUUUGAUAGGAGCACACAGCAUUUUUAAUUAUGAAAAUAUCCUUUUUCCCAUUUGUAUUCUUUUCCACUUGCAUUUCUUGCUGGCUUAAAUGACUUGUAAUUUAAUAGCAUUCAAUUUGCUUCAUCAGCUUUUCUCUAAUUAAAUUUUUUAUUUUUAAUUGAUUUACUUUACCAGUGACAUAUUACUUGGAUUGUGGCUGCUGUGCCUCAUGUGUCCCUGAUCGUAGUCCAGGGACAUGCUGCUUAUUGGUUCUUGUCAGAGGGAAAAUGCAUUGGCUAGGAUAAGAAAGCCUUUAGAGAGGGUGGCCCUCUGGGAUUAGACUGAUCCAGACCUGUAGGGGGCCCACAGUAAUGGGCUAUGACAGUUCCUCUUCUACAGGCCCCACACUCUUAGGAUUUGUCAAAAAAUGCAUACUUGUUUGCUAUGUAGCAGGCGAAAUACAGUAUGCAACGUGAGCAGUAUGUCCGGAUCCUCAGUAUGGAUCAGAUAGUAGCAGAACGGUACCCGGGUGACAUGCUGCGUUCUGUGAAAUUAUGAAGUGUGCAACCGAUGGAUGCUACGCUGUCCUACAAGGCCACUGUAGUUGCAAGACGUAAUGAAGCGCAUCGCUUGGUCAGAAAUUUGUGUCAAGAUGGAGGAUGAAUUGCCGUCUCUGUAUAAAUUUAAUAAGACAGCAAUACCCAGUUGCAAAAGUUGACUCGAAUAUGUAGGGUUUUUUUUGACACUGUUUAACAUUUUUUAACUUUCAUGGGGGUCAAGUUAUAUUGGUAAACAUCCAGGUGAGGUAAUAUGCAAGAUGGCGACUGCAGUAUGUUUGAGUGCAUGCAUACUGAUCUCAUGCAUAUCAUUGGUUUAGUAGCAGAUUUCUGAUGAAAUUCAGCACCUACUAUGUAAGUAUGCAAUUUCCGGCAUACCCUUAAUGUCCACUGCAGAACACUGAGGUACCUUUGCUCUGUCUUUCAGUCAUGCUGGAGUUUCCUCUGGUUUGGCAGUGGUGGCUGGCCUUGGGUAGCGGCCUGUUCCUCAUGAUCUGCAAUGGUCAGCUUAUUGCCUACUUUGCAUGCCAGAACGACCCCAAGUACCCUACGCUUCACAGCUAUUGACCUCCUGGGGAUGGAGAAGAAACAUGGAGGGAGAAGGCUUUGAUCUUCAUGGUUGGGAGACACAUGUUUUAGAAUUCAGAGUGGAGAACAAUCCAGAAUAUUAGGCACAUCUCCAGGAAUGGGGUGAUGCCUUCUAAUGAGUUUUCCCUCUGAGGAACAGAUUCUAGAAUCUGGGCUCUGAUAAAGCACAUUGAAGGGUGAUUGUGAGUGGCCUUUUCCUGUCUGUGAACCAAUAAAUCAUAGUGUCAUCAACCAUUGGUGUAUAACAGACCAUAAUCAGCAACCUGCAGCUGACUCAAUCCAUGCUUGCUGUGCUGUGGUUGAUUGAUGUUGGUGUUUUGCCUGCCUUGCUCGGUCUUCCAUCUUGGGGCAGGUAAGGCAGUCCUUGUUUGGUAAGGGCCCUUCUGUAUGCAGAACCUAUAGAGAAGGACAUGGGCUGGAGGUAGGAGUUCAGCCCAUAUGUUAGACCGUUCCAUCUUCACAUCUAGUUACUGUAUGUAUCGUUCAUGUGAAGGUGAUAGUGAACCUAAGUGGAAGGCCGUCUCCUUCAUCGCGGUUGGCGGUACAGUCUCCGAUACAUGUGUGUGAAGAGGAUGGAAGCAGUGCUUCGGUGAUGUCCUGCCUGCUGAUGUGAGUCGUGAGCAGAAGCGGGGAACUAGGAGACACAGACCGUGCUGCAGGCAGGAAGCAUUUCAGAUGAUGUGGUUUAAUCUAUGAGUCAUAUUCCUGUUAAAAAUGUGUUGACAAUGUGACACCAACGCAUGAGAUGUAACCGUGACCUAAAUGUAGAAUUAAAACUCUUUGGAGGUUGAUGAAAUAA